GUUUAGUUGUACAUGGAUUAAUACCUUAUUUUUUUUAAGGCUAGUCCAGUAUAUCUCUAAUUUUAAAAUAAUAAUAAUAAUAAUAAAUAAAAUAAUAAUUAAAGAAGCUAGCUAUAGCUUUACCACACAAACCCUAAACUCCCAAAAGCUAAGCCUCCCCUGCCGCCUAACCUAAACCUAAAAUCCCUCUCAAAGCUCCCUUCUCGUUUGCUCCAUUCGCCUGCACAGGCAGUGCUCGAGUGGUCACAAAGCUCUCUCUUAUUCUUUUGCCUAAACCAUAAACACAUCCUAAAUCUCCCUCUGCUAAAAUUGCUGUCUUUCCCUCUCAUCUCUGCCUAAAUCUCCCUCUCAUUUAUCAAACACUACACCUAAAACUGCUCUAUUUCAGCAAGUUACUUCAAAUGGCAGCGAGGCUCCUGUAGUCGACCAGGAGGAUGUCACCGUUGCUGGCGAUUCGACGACGCGUGACGAAUUAGCUAGUGCUGCGGUGAAGCUUCAGAAGCUUUAUAAGGAUUAUCAGAUUUGCAAAGAUAAAGAUGAAGCUGAAGUAUGGUUUAGUGGUUUAAAAGCAUUGAUAUCCCGUGGUCAUCAUCGAAAAUGGAGAAAUGAGUUUAGGAGUGAUGGAAUCCCAUCAGAGGCAAAUAAACCUAGAACAUACACGAGGAGGAGUUCUCCUUUGCACUCUCCCUUCGG